UACGACUAUAUCACGUUCAAAAAACCGGUUCCCGUAGGAUCAACGAAGUUAAGCAACGACGAGCCAGGUCAGUAUUUAGAUGGAUGCGCACUUGAGAAUACCCAGUGAAG